CCAGGUGUAAGCUCAGACAGUAAAGCAUCUGCCUACAAUGCAGGAGACCUGGGUUCAAUCCCUGGAUCAGGA
rfam:TPA: Bos taurus chromosome 1, whole genome shotgun sequence.